UCUCACUGACAAUACAAAUGCCAGGAAGCACACAACCCAAAAGACUUCUUCUCCUACAUACCUCUGAGAUAUCCUGAUAGGUCCACUGGUCUGCAGGCUGAUGGGACCGGCCACGGGACUUACAGAAGUAUUUUAACAACUAGUUUAUUUUCCUCAAAGCUGAAAUAUACUAUAAAAUGUGUCAAGGCAGGGCUGUGGUGCUUUAUGGAUGCACAGUUUGGGGCAGGAUGCCAAGGUAAGAUACGGCUUUGCAUAACUCUUCAGUUGUAAAACAGUUUACACAGAUUACUUUUUUAACACUGUCGAUUUAACUCUCCUUCUGCAUUUGAAACCACUUCUGCUCCUUUCUAGGGCUUCUCAGGAGGAGCACCCAAGUUGUAACAUAUUUCAUAAGUGCAGAUAUUAAAACUUGGAGCAUAAAGCCUCUUCCUAUCCCUGAUGAAGAAAUUUCCUGUGAUUUCUCACUACAGUGACAGAGAAGGAAGAAGAAUUCUCAUCAAAGUCAGGCAAAUAACUCAGAUGGAGCAAUGUCAAGAGAAAUCUUUUCCAAAGAAAUGCACUGUUCAUCACAGUUGAACAUACAGCCUCUUUCCAGAUGUGGCACUCCACAAAUGUGCAGAUGCUGUUAUACCAAAAGCUGUUGUUUGAGCUUCAACUCCUUUCAGUUCUCCACCUCCUAUUGGAAAGACGGCAUGGUAAGCAUCACAAUUAUGUUCCACCUCGUGCACACAUCAGGCAGAGGAAUAAAACAAAAAUGUAGGUAGGGAGCUCACGUCAGACUAACCACAAGUUCUGGCUUCCUUUUCCCAAAGGGUUU
rnacentral:lncRNA from 1 species